AUUAAGUGACAUAGGCUAGAGUGUAUACAAAUAAUAAGCUAAUGUCAUAAAGCGGCAUUAGGCUUGGACUAGAUAUGGACUUAGCAAGCUAAUGUCAUAAAGCGGCAUUAGGCUUGAUGGAUAUGUAAAUUGCAUGUACAUGUUAUUAUUAUGAGAAUUAUGCCAAGUUGAUAGUUGCAUUGGAUAGAAUAAGCUAACG
rnacentral:lncRNA from 1 species